rfam:Tupaia chinensis contig186437, whole genome shotgun sequence.
UCCAAGACGGAGUCCCAGAAGGUCCUCUUACCGUCCACUGCAGACUGGAGAGAAGGGAGAUGACGAGGACAGUGACAGAUGGA